rnacentral:rRNA from 1 species
AUGGAGCAAUGGGCGUACUGCCUUUGCCUCUUCCUGGCUCUCCUCCUCCCUCUCCUGCUGCUCAAGCUCAACAGCAAGCAUCGCGGCGUGCGUCUGCCACCCGGACCGUGGCGGCUGCCGAUCAUCGGCAGCCUGCACCACCUUGCCGGCAACCCGCUCGUGCACCGUGUCAUGGCCGACCUCGCGCGCCGGCUGGACGCGCCGCUCAUGUACCUCAAGCUCGGCGAGGUGCCGGUGGUUGUGGCCACGUCCCCGGAGGCCGCCCGCGAGAUCAUGCGGACGCACGACGUCGUCUUCGCGACGCGGCCGUGGAGCCUCACCGUCAAGAUCAUGAACGCCGACGGGCAAGGGCUGAUAUUCGCGCGCUACGGCGCGCUGUGGCGCCAGCUCCGCAAGAUCUGCAUCCUGGAGCUGCUCAGCACGCGCCGCGUGCAGUCGUUCCGCCACAUCCGGGAGGACGAGGUCGCCCGCCUCGUGGCCGCGGUUGCCGCGGUGCCGCCCGGGGAGCCCGUGAACGUGAGCGAGCGGAUCGCCGUGCUCAUCACCGACUCGGCGGUGCGCGCCAUGAUCGGGGACAGGUUUAAGAGACGGGAGGAGUUCUUGCAGACACUCGACGAAGGGGUCAAGCUCGUCUCCGGGUUCAACCUCGGCGACCUGUUCCCGUCAUCGCGCCUCGCCAGCUUCAUCAGCGGCACGGCGCGGCUGGCCGAGGAGAACCACCGCAAGUGCUUCGAGCUCAUGGAGUACGCGAUCCAGCAGCACGAGCAGCAGAGGGCCGCCGCCUCAGGGAACGGCGACGUAGAGGAGGAAGGAGGAGAGGACCUAGUGGACACGCUCUUGAGGAUACGCAAGGAAGGUGGCCUCGACGUGCCUCUUACCAUGGGCAUGAUCAAAGCAGUUAUACUGGAUUUAUUUGGUGCCGGGAGCGAGACGUCAGCUACCACACUUCAAUGGGCCAUGUCGGAGCUCAUGAGGUACCCAAACGUGAUGCGGAAAGCACAAGCUGAAGUACGCAACAAUCUCCAAAGAAAACAUAAGGUGACUGAGGAUGACUUGGCCAAUCUCAAGUACCUCAGACUUGUCAUCAAGGAAACAAUGAGGUUGCAUCCAGCCGCGCCAUUGCUUCUCCCUAGAGAGGCCAUGGAGCCUUGCAAAAUUCUCGGGUACGACAUACCCAAGGGCACCACGGUAUUGGUAAACGCAUGGGCGAUCGGCCGGGACCCUAAGUAUUGGGAAGAUCCUGAGGAGUUCAAGCCGGAGAGGUUCGAGUCUGAAAUGGUCGACUUUAAAGGCACAAACUUUGAAUACAUACCGUUCGGAGCAGGCAGGAGAAUGUGCCCUGGAAUGACAUUUGCGCAGGCCAGCAUGGAGAUUGUGCUCGCCUCACUUCUUUACCACUUUGACUGGGAGCUCCCAAGUAGGGUUAAGCCAGAUGGGCUAGACAUGACCGAGGAGAUGGGUCUCACCGUCCGGCGAAAGAACGACUUGUAUCUGCACGCCGUGGUCCAUAUGCCCUUGAUUUGA